GUGCUCGCGUCAGCAGCACAUAUACUAAAAUUGGAAUGAUACAGAGAAGAUUAGCAUGUCCCCUGCACAAGGAUGACAUGCAAAUUCAUGAAGCAUUCCAUAUUUUU
ensembl:snRNA U6 U6 spliceosomal RNA